CCUACGGGUGGCAGCAGUAGGGAAUAUUGCUCAAUGGGGGAAACCCUGAAGCAGCAACGCCGCGUGGAGGAUGAAGGUUUUCGGAUCGUAAACUCCUUUUGUUAGAGAAGAUAAUGACGGUAUCUAACGAAUAAGCCCCGGCUAACUCCGUGCCAGCAGCCGCGGUAAUACGGAGGGUGCAAGCGUUACCCGGAAUCACUGGGCGUAAAGAGCGCGUAGGCGGGAUAGCAAGUCAGAUGUGAAAUCCUAUGGCUUAACCAUAGAACUGCAUUUGAAACUGUUAUUCUGGAGUAUGGGAGAGGUAGGUGGAAUUCUUGGUGUAGGGGUAAAAUCCGUAGAGAUCAAGAGGAAUACUCAUUGCGAAGGCGACCUGCUAGAACGUAACUGACGCUGAUGCGCGAAAGCGUGGGGAGCAAACAGGAUUAGAUACCCUAGUAGUC
rnacentral:rRNA from 1 species